CAGGGCCGCAGGCUCAGAAGGCAGCGUCUGGGCAUCUCCACUUGGGCAUGGGUUCUGCUCCUUGUUACCUUCGUCACUCAGGGCUCAGGUGA
rnacentral:pre_miRNA from 1 species